rnacentral:rRNA from 1 species
UGGGGAAUUUUGGACAAUGGGCGAAAGCCUGAUCCAGCAAUGCCGCGUGUGUGAAGAAGGCCUUCGGGUUGUAAAGCACUUUUGUCCGGAAAGAAAUCCUUGGCUCUAAUACAGUCGGGGGAUGACGGUACCGGAAGAAUAAGCACCGGCUAACUACGUGCCAGCAGCCGCGGUAAUACGUAGGGUGCAAGCGUUAAUCGGAAUUACUGGGCGUAAAGCGUGCGCAGGCGGUUUGCUAAGACCGAUGUGAAAUCCCCGGGCUCAACCCGGGAACUGCAUUGGUGACUGGCAGGCUAGAGUAUGGCAGAGGGGGGUAGAAUUCCACGUGUAGCAGUGAAAUGCGUAGAGAUGUGGAGGAAUACCGAUGGCGAAGGCAGCCCCCUGGGCCAAUACUGACGCUCAUGCACGAAAGCGUGGGGAGCAAACAGGAUUAGAUACCCUGGUAGUCCACGCCCUAAACGAUGUCAACUAGUUGUUGGGGAUUCAUUUCCUUAGUAACGUAGCUAACGCGUGAAGUUGACCGCCUGGGGAGUACGGUCGCAAGAUUAAAACUUAAAGGAAUUGACGGGGUCAUAGCUG